UAGGGAAUCUUCCACAAUGGGCGAAAGCCUGAUGGAGCAACGCCGCGUGUGUGAAGAAGGUCUUCGGAUUGUAAAGCACUUUCGACGGGGACGAUGAUGACGGUACCCGUAGAAGAAGCCCCGGCUAACUUCGUGUCAG
rnacentral:rRNA from 1 species